rnacentral:lncRNA from 1 species
GAGGGACCCUAAAUGGGUUGAUCUCUUCAGUUUACUAGUUGCUUUCUUGGCACCCAAACUUCCUCUUGCGCCUGGUGGAGGUGGUGGUGGAGCAGCAGGUCCUUUUCCGGCAGCCAUUGGAAGUGGUGGUGGUGGAGCAGCAGGUCGUUUUCCGGCAGCCAUUGGAAAUGGUGGUGGUGGAGCAGCAGGUCCUUUUCCUGCAGCCAUUGGAAGUGGUGGUGGUGGAGCAGCAGGUUCUUUUCCGGCAGCCAUUGGAAGUGGUGGUGGUGGAGCAGCAGGUCCUUUUCCUGCAGCCAUUGGAAGUGGUGGUGGUGGAGCAGCUCCUGGAGGGGGAAGAGACGGAGCAGCCAAUCCUUUACCUGCAGCCAUUGGAAGUG